UGGGGAAUUUUGGACAAUGGGCGCAAGCCUGAUCCAGCCAUGCCGCGUGCGGGAAGAAGGCCUUCGGGUUGUAAAACUCUUUCGCCGGGGAAGAUAAUGACGGUACCCGGAGAAGAAGCUCCGGCUAACUUCGUGCCAGCAGCCGCGGUAAUACGUAGGGACCAAGCGUUGUUCGGAUUUACUGGGCGUAAAGGGCGCGUAGGCGGCAAUUCAAGUCAUCUGUGAAAUCUCCGGGCUUAACUCGGAACGGUCAGAUGAUACUGCUUUGCUAGAGUGCAGAAGGGGCAAUCGGAAUUCUUGGUGUAGCGGUGAAAUGCGUAGAUAUCAAGAGGAACACCUGAGGUGAAGACGGGUUGCUGGGCUGACACUGACGCUGAGGCGCGAAAGCCAGGGGAGCAAACGGGAUUAGAUACCCCCGUAGUCCCUGAGCGGGCUGGCAAGGCGCAU
rnacentral:rRNA from 1 species